AACGAACGCUGGCGGCAUGCCUAACACAUGCAAGUCGAACGAGACCUUCGGGUCUAGUGGCGCACGGGUGCGUAACGCGUGGGAACCUGCCCUUAGGUUCGGAAUAAAUCCCCGAAAGGGGUGCUAAUACAGGAUAAUGUCUUCGGACCAAAGAUUUAUUGCCUUUGGAUGGGCCCGCGUUGGAUUAGCUAGUUGGUAGGGUAAAAGCCUACCAAGGCGACGAUCCAUAGCUGGUCUGAGAGGAGGAUCAGCCACACUGGGACUGAGACACGGCCCAGACUCCUACGGGAAGCAGCAGUGGGGAAUAGUGGACAAUGGACGAAAGCCUGAUCCAGCAGUGCCGCGGGAGUGAUGAAGGCCUUAGGGUUGUAAAGCUCUUUUACCCGGGAUGAUAAUGACAGUACCGGGAGAAUAAGCUCCGGCUAACUCCGUG
rnacentral:rRNA from 1 species